GAUAUAUACUUAAAAUUUAAAAAAUUUGGCGGUAAUUUAAUCUUUUUAGAGGAACCUGUUUUUUAAUCGAUAAUCCACGAAAAAUCUUACUUACUUUAAAAAAUUUUGUAUACCGUCAUUAUCAGGUAAUUUUUGUAGAAGUAAUUAUUGGAAUUAAAAAUGAAUAAUAAAAUUAGACCAUGGUGCAGAUUAUAAGUAAGGUAAAAUGGGUUACAAUAAAUUAUUUUAUACGGAUUAACAGGAGAAUUUCUGUUAUGAAGGCGGAUUUAAUUGUAUUAAAAGUUUAAUAAGCUUAAUAGAUAUAAGUUCUAAAUUAUGU
rnacentral:rRNA from 1 species